rnacentral:rRNA from 1 species
AUGUUCGACCACCACAGCCUCAAUCAUGACCACCGGCAGGCCAUGCGCCCCCACUCACGGUCAGCGGCGCCAUUCAUUGUCGUCCUGGCGGCUGGUAGCCCCGAUGCGAAUCACCAUACUCUUGUCGCCGUGCCCCGCCACUUGCCGUCGUGCCCAAAGCUCUGUCCAGCCAGGUCCAACGCCCAGCCAGUCCGGUAUAGGAAAUACAUGCCCGUUCAGCCACCUGCCUGGUCCUGGUCCAGCUCGCUCACAGCCGGUCAAAUGGUUGACCAAGCCGAAUCGGGAGUGAUUCAGACCGCGUCCAGCCUACUCCCGACGGACGAGGGCGGCGUACCCAUAUCCUUUUUUGGGCCCGGACGAGCAAGAGAGGAGAAGGUGAGCAUCCUGAGUUGUCACCAAGCGAAGCGAGACGAUUUACACAGGCAGCUUGAUGGACCUGGCAACGGCGCAGUUGCUACCGGACGACGUGCUGGCGGAUAUCCUCGGCCGCCUCGGACCGCACGACCUCGCCGUCUCCCGCUGCAUCUGCAAGCCGUGGCGUGCCGUCAUCGAUGCUCGCCACAUUCAUCAAAGACACGACAGUGGGAGGAGAAGCCUUUUAUCCGAGAAGGGGAGGCCACGGGCACAAUUGGCGACAUGGAAUCUGCUCUAUCACCCGGGCACUGCCAUGCGGCCUACUGGCGGAGGGCUCUCUACGUGCACCAACAUGAUUUUGUAAUCAGAAUAACCUUAUCAAACGAUAAGUACCAAGUGAUUAAGCUGCCAUUAGGCCUUCAUGUGGAAACUGAUGAACCGGAACAUUACCUAGGAAAGUCAGAAAAAGGGGUGUACUGUGCAUUACUCUACGGCAACAAUCGUCUUGGACUUCGGAUUUGGUUCCUCGACGAAACAUGCGGCCAGAUGGAGUGGCUCCUGAAACGUGACAUCAAACUUGGGAAUCUACUUGCAAAUUUUCCUUGGAAAUAUGGUGACAGGUCAUGGACUAUGCAAUAUGUUAACGAUGAAGAUGCCAAGAGCGUGGCACCAGCAGGACAAUUUGAAUCGGACUACUCUAACAAAGAUGAUAAUGGCAUCGCCACCGAAUAUACCGUUUCUUUACUCGGAUUUCAUCCUUACAGAGAGAUCAUCUUCUUCCGUACAUCCUUCGGAAGAGCAAUGGCUUAUCACUUCAAUAGCUCAGAGAUUGUAGACAUGGGUUAUUUGCAAGGAAAGGGCCCUCAUGAUUGCGUAGGUGGAUCCUUUCCAUACACCCCGUGUCAGAUGGGGGAGCUGUCAAACAACAUGUAA